GGAUGUGAGGGCGAUCUGGCUGCAACAUCUGUCACCCCAUGGAUCGCCAGGGUUGAACGGGCUGAUCUGGCUGGCUAGACUGGUGUCCUUUCCUCCCUCGCAGCUCUGUGUACAUCCUUCCCAAAGCUGCAUGUUCAGAUGAAGGGGACAACCUUCUGUGAUAGAGGAGGACCAUCCUUUGGUCAAGGGUAAACAAGUAACUGUGCUCCCCUCCUAGAAACUUCAAACAAGCUCUUAAGGUCCAUUUGUAGGAGAAUGUAGGGUAGUCAAGCUUCCAAGACUCCAGACACAUACAAAUGAGGCACUGCAUGGGGCAGUCUGCCAUUCUUU
ensembl:misc_RNA 7SK 7SK RNA